GUAAUCCUCAUCUUAUAAAUAUCACCAAAAUUCUAUCCCUUAGUUACCAUAAUCUACCUUACAAGCUCAAAGCUUGCUUCUUGUAUUUUGGAAUGUUUCCAGAGGAUUACUUUAUUAACUGUGCAAGACUAAUUCAACUAUGGAUAGCCAAGGGCUUUGUAAAAGAAAAACAAGGGUUAACAUUGGCAGAGGUUGCACAAGACUACUUAAAAGAGCUUAUUCAUAGAAGCUUGGUUCAGGUGGAGAUGGUUGAUUCUAGAGGCAAAAUUAGAAGUUGUCGAGUUCAUGAUAUGUUGCGAGAGGUCAUUCUUUCGAGGCCGGAGGAGUUGAAUUUUUGUUUGGCCUCAAUACAAAACUACUCAAGUUUUGACAAAAUUGCUCAACGUCUCUCAAUUCAGAACAAUGCAAAUGCUCCUUUACAGAGUAUUACUAAUUCUCAAACUCGUUCUAUUCUCGUUUUUGGGGUAGAUGGAAGUGCCUAAAUCUUUUCUUGAAAUUUGUUUUUCAAAUUUUAAGCUUAAGAAAACAAUGGAUUUUGAAGGUGCUUCCAUCGAUUACAUUCCUAAAGAAGUGGGUAACCUAUUCCAUUUAAGAUAUUUAAGCCUGAGAGAUACAAAAGUACAAAUCCUUCCAAAGUCCAUAGGUGAAUUGCACAACUUAGAGACUUUGGAUUUGAAACGUUCUCUUGUGUCUGAACUACCAGCAGAAAUUAGUGGGCUCCAUAAGUUACAAUACCUUGGUGCAUAUAUUGAAAAUUUUGAUACUGAAUUUAGUAUUGAUUCUCGACGAGGAGUAAAAAUACAUAGUGGCAUUGGGUGUUUACAAUCCUUACAGAAACUUGUUAAGAUUGAAGCCAACAAUGCGGCCCUUAUAACAGAAAUUAGGGAGUUUGAGACAAUUGAGAAAGUUUGAAAUCACUAAUUUGAAGAGAGAAAAUGGAAUGGAUUUGUGUCCCGCAUUGGAAAAAAUGAGCCAUCUUCAGGCAUUGACUAUUAAUGGAACAAGUCAGGAAGAAGUGCUUGAAUUGCAAAUGAUGUCUUCUCCUUUGCCCUUCCUACAAAGUCUUGGCCUAUAUGGGCGACUAGAAAAGCUGCCGGAAUGGAUUCCCAAACACAAGACUAUAGUUCGAAUUUGUUUAUUCUGGUCAAAAUUAAUGGAUGAUCCAUUACUGGUCUUGAAAGCCUUGCCCAAUUUGAUGAUUCUUCGAAUUUACGAUGGAUACAUAGGUGAGCAAUUACAUAUAGAGGGAGAAGGCUUUCAGAAACUCGAGUGGCUAGGCCUUCAAAAUUUGGAAGGAUUUAAUAGGUUGAUGAUAGAUGAAGGUGCCUUGCCUCUUCUUGAAACAAAUUUAAUUGGACCUUGCCCACAGCUGAAGGAGGUGCCCUGUAGCAUCCACCAUCUAAAAUGCCUCAAAUAUCUGAUAUUUUAUGACAUGCUGACUGAAUUUGUUCUUAAUCUACAACCAAAUGAAGGCCCUGAUUUUUGGAAAGUCACACAUGUUCCCUCUGUUCUUUUUUGGUAUAAGAUUCAAGGGUUACGACACAAAAGCUACAAGCUCGGAGAUCCAGAGUUGUUAGACCGUUUUCGAAGGUAAUUCAAGAGGUGAAGAACCAAAGUGCCCCCACCACUUAUGUGAAAUUAUAGGUAGGACAUCUGAGCCAUGAAGCUUAGUUGCUUUCAAAGUUAGUUUGUGACAACCAUCAAAGUCGAUGUCUUAAGGGAUUUUCAAGUGCCAAAUCAAGAAUAU